ensembl:lncRNA
CGUACAUCACGUCACCGUGCUACAGUCUGCAGCGAGGGGUGUCUCCCUUCACUCGCGCAGCGUGGGCGGAGUCUCGUACCUGUGCUCGCGAGUACUGUCUGCCAUGUUCGGGCAGUUUGGAUGCAAACAAAACAAUGGAUUAUUUACCAAGAGAUAUGGAUGUAUGAACUCAUUUCGAUAAAACACUUCUGGUCUACUCUAGAGUUUUUACCCUGCAGAAAACUGACGAGCAACCCAAACCACCAACAGACGAGGAAGAUGAUGCUUUUACAGAUGCUAAAUAUAAGCAGACUAUACAGAUGCUCAUCUCGGCCAAAACUCACUACAACACAACUACACUACAACACAAACACAGCAUCACAGUUCAUCACUUUACUUAGUACUUCACUCAGGAUGUAAAGACACACAGGAGUAACUGAUUAUUUCUUUUAACAUGCUACACAUUUCUUUUAAUAUUUCUAUGUUUUGUAGUAACCAAUAGAAGCUGAAGGAAUGGCAGACAUUACUCAGACACCUGUGAACACUGAGCAGUGGUUGGAGUCCAAAACAGUGAAAUCAUCUUUAUUAUACUUCUGACUGAACUAGCAUCGAGCAUUAGAGACAAUGAGAACGUAAGUUGAAGUAAAAUGUUUGCAUUGACCAUUUCACCGUGUUAUUUUUUGCAGUAACUGCAGGGAAUAUUAAUUGAAGAGACCUGAUCAGCAGCAAGCUUUGGAUCUACUGAAUGUGUAUUUUUCAAGCAUUUUAUUGCAGGGUUCACUGUUAUUUUUCUGCAUAGCGAUGACUGGUGAAAAGUGUUUAUUAAUUUACUUCAAUGUAUAGUUAACCAGAAUUCUGUCUUUUACGUUUCACCAAACCUCUGACUUUUGUUUUUCUGCAGAACUCAAAAGAAGAUACUUUGAUUGAUUUUCAUAUUUUGGGUGAACUCUCUUUAAUUAGCAUGCUACACACUAAAUAUUAAUCAUGCUGGGCACAGCCACUUAUUGUGCUGUCACUGCAGUUGGUGCUGUAAAUAGUCUGUCAAAUAACAGGUACAUUGCUACAACAUACAUUUAAUGUAGUUCACAAUGAUGCAUUACGUUAGACCUUUACUAAUAGAUACUUGUAUAUUAUUUGGUCUUUACAGGUGCAGAAAUAAAAGCUCCCAAUCAAAGAAGUCA